rnacentral:rRNA from 1 species
GACGAACGCUGGCGGCGUGCUUAACACAUGCAAGUCGAACGGAAAGGCCCUGCUUUUGUGGGGUGCUCGAGUGGCGAACGGGUGAGUAACACGUGAGUAACCUGCCCUUGACUUUGGGAUAACUUCAGGAAACUGGGGCUAAUACCGGAUAGGAGCUCCUGCUGCAUGGUGGGGGUUGGAAAGUUUCGGCGGUUGGGGAUGGACUCGCGGCUUAUCAGCUUGUUGGUGGGGUAGUGGCUUACCAAGGCUUUGACGGGUAGCCGGCCUGAGAGGGUGACCGGCAGAGUGUGGUAGUGAACGCGGCCGCGGCUCGGAGGGGGGCAAGAGGGGGGGAAUGUAGCAAAGGGGGCGUAAGGCGGCGUCAGAGACGGGUGGGGGGGGGUUGGGGGUUUGGUGUGUGAAGCCGCUGCCGGUGGUGGAGAAGGGUGAGGGGGGGUAAGGGGUAAAGGAGCCCCAGGUUAAUCGGUGCCAGCAGCGGGGUAAUGAUAGACGAGCGCACGUUCCACA